rnacentral:rRNA from 1 species
AAUGAACGUUGGCGGCGUGGAUUAGGCAUGCAAGUCGAGCGCCCCGCAAGGGGAGCGGCGCAAGGGUGAGUAAGGCGACGGUAACCAACCCCACGAAUGGGAAUAGCCGCGGGAAACUGCGGGUAAUGCCCAGCGACGUCGGUAGGGGGCAUCCCCAUCCGACCAAAGCUCCGGCGUCGUGGGACGGGCCGUCGUGGUAUUAGCUGGUUGGCGGGGUGACGGCCCACCAAGGCUGCGAUGCCUACCGGGCGUGCGAGCGUGGCCCGGCACACUGGGACUGAGACACUGCCCAGACUCCUACGGGAGGCUGCAGUCGAGAAUCUUCGGCAAUGGGCGCAAGCCUGACCGAGCGACGCCGCGU